CUUCUAGUAGUGGGAGAACAGCAGAACUACUUGGUGGGGCAACAGGCUUUGUUGGAUUCAGUGCUUUGCAAGACUUGGGUUAUGUGCCUGCAGCCUCACAAGCAGCUCAAGCUGAUGAUAGUGCUAUUUCUGCUGAAUUUAGAGUUGCUCUACGUAAAAUGACCAAAAAGGAUUCUACAACAAAAAUUAAGGCAUUACAAGAAUUUGAAGAGUUGUGCCAAAAUGAAGAUCAAGAAGCUAUUUUAUCUGCUCUGCCAUUUUGGCCACGUUUGUAUACUAAAUUAUCAGUAGAUGUAGAGAGGAGGGUUCGAGAAGCAACACAAGUUGCCAAUGGUGCACUGGUGGCUCAAGUAGGGAAACAGUUGGCUCCUCAUCUUUAAAUCCAUGAUG